rnacentral:rRNA from 1 species
UACGUAGGUGACAAGCGUUGUCCGGAUUUACUGGGCGUAAAGAGCGCGCAGGCGGUCGUUCAAGUCGAGUGUGAAAGCCCCCGGCUCAACUGGGGAGGGUCACUCGAUACUGAUCGACUCGAAGGCAGGAGAGGGUAGUGGAAUUCCCGGUGUAGUGGUGAAAUGCGUAGAUAUCGGGAGGAACACCAGUGGCGAAGGCGGAUCUCUGGGCCUUACCUGACGCUCAGGCGCGAAAGCUAGGGGAGCGAACAGG